rnacentral:rRNA from 1 species
GACGAACGCUGGCGGCGUGCUUAACACAUGCAAGUCGAACGGAAAGGCCCUGCUUUUGUGGGGUGCUCGAGUGGCGAACGGGUGAGUAACACGUGAGUAACCUGCCCUUGACUUUGGGAUAACUUCAUGAAACUGGGGCUAAUACCGGCUAGGAGCUCCUGCUGCAUGGUGGGGGUUGGAAAGUUUCGGCGGUUGGGGAUGGACUCGCGGCUUAUCAGCUUGUUGGUGGGGUAGUGGCUUACCAAGGCUUUGACGGGUAGCCGGCCUGAGAGGGUGACCGGCCACAUUGGGACUGAGAUACGGCCCAGACUACUACGGGAGGCAGCAGUGGGGAAUAUUGCACAAUGGGCGGAAGCCUGAUGCAGCAAAGCCGCGUGCGGGAUGACGGCAUUCGGGUUGUAAACCGCUUUCGCCUGUGACGAAGCGUGAGUGACGGUAAUGGGUAAAGAAGCACCGGCUAACUACGUG